GAUGAACGCUGGCGGCGUGCUUAACACAUGCAAGUCGAACGAAGCACUUUAACCUGAUUCUUCGGAUGAAGGUUUUUGUGACUGAGUGGCGGACGGGUGAGUAACGCGUGGGUAACCUGCCUCAUACAGGGGGAUAACAGUUAGAUAUGACUGCUAAUACCGCAUAAGACCACAGAGCCGCAUGGCUCGGUGGGAAAAACUCCGGUGGUAUGAGAUGGACCCGCGUCUGAUUAGGUAGUUGGUGGGGUAACGGCCUACCAAGCCAACGAUCAGUAGCCGACCUGAGAGGGUGACCGGCCACAUUGGGACUGAGACACGGCCCAAACUCCUACGGGAAGCAGCAGUGGGGAAUAUUGCACAAUGGGGGAAACCCUGAUGCAGCGACGCCGCGUGAGCGAAGAAGUAUUUCGGUAUGUAAAGCUCUAUCAGCAGGGAAGAAAAUGACGGUACCUGACUAAGAAGCACCGGCUAAAUACGUG
rnacentral:rRNA from 1 species